rnacentral:rRNA from 1 species
GGCCUGGUUGGGUGGUCUUGCCGCAAGGUGUGCUACUGGUCGCGGCGAGUCUUACCUUCUGGCUAGCUGGCGUGCCUUUAAUCGGGUGCGUCAGUGAUCCAGGACUUUUACCUUGAAAAAAUUAGAGUGUUUAAAGCAGGCUUACGCUUGAAUACAUUAGCAUGGAAUAAUAGAAUAGGA